rnacentral:rRNA from 1 species
AAUUCGAUUAGUUUGAUCAUGGCUCAGAAUGAACGCUGGCGGCGUGCUCUACACAUGCAAGUCGAGCGAGGCGGGUAGCAAUACCCAGUCGAGCGGCGAACGGGUGAGUAACGCGUGGAUUAUCUGCCCUGAGGUGGGGGAUAACCCGGGGAAACUCGGGCUAAUACCGCAUAGGACCGUGAGGUCAAAGGGGGGUCGCAAGAUCUCUCGCCAUAGGAGGAGUCCGCGUUCGAUUAGCUAGUUGGUAGGGUAAUGGCCUACCAAGGCGACGAUCGAUAGCCGGCCUGAGAGGGUGAUCGGCCACACUGGAACUGAGACACGGUCCAGACUCCUACGGGAGGCAGCAGUGGGGAAUUUUGCGCAAUGGGCUAACGCCUGACGCAGCAACGCCGCGUGGAGGAUGAAGGUCUUUGGAUUGUGAACUCCUGUCAGCAGGGAAAAAGCAACCUGACCUCAUACGUCAGGAAGUUGAUUGUACCUGCAGAGGAAGCCCCGGCUAACUCUGUGCCAGCAGCCGCGGUAAUACAGAGGGGGCAAGCGUUAUUCGGAAUUAUUGGGCGUAAAGGGCGCGUAGGCGGCUUGGCAAGUGGAAGGUGAAAUCCCUCGGCUUAACCGAGGAACUGCCCUCCAGACUGUUUUGCUUGAGGCC